AAUCAACGCUGGCGGCGUGCCUCAGACAUGCAAGUCGAACGCGAAAGUCUCCUUCGGGGGAUAAGUAGAGUGGCGCACGGGUGAGUAACACGUAGGUAAUCUACCUUCGGAUGGGGAAUAACAACCGGAAACGGUUGCUAAUACCGCAUAAUGCAGCGGCACCUAAUGGUGACAGUUGUUAAAGCGGGGGAUCGAAAGACCUCGCGUCUGAAGAGGAGCCUGCGGCGGAUUAGCUAGUUGGUAGGGUAAUGGCCUACCAAGGCGACGAUCCGUAGCCGGCCUCGAGAGGGCGGUCGGCCACACUGACACUGACAUACGGGUCAGACUCCUACGGGAGGCAGCAGUCGGGAAGUUUU
rnacentral:rRNA from 1 species